rnacentral:rRNA from 1 species
ACUCAAAUGAAUUGACGGGGGCCCGCACAAGCGGUGGAGCAUGUGGUUCAAUUCGACGCAACGCGCAGAACCUUACCUGGGUUAAAUCCACCAGAACCUUGCAGAGAUGCGGGGGUGCCCUUCGGGGAACUGGUGAGAAGGUGCUGCAUGGCUGUCGUCAGCUCGUGUCGUGAGAUGUUGGGUUAAGUCCCGCAACGAGCGCAACCUCUGUCGUUAGUUGCCAGCAUUAAGUUGGGCACUCUAACGAGACUGCCGCCGUCAAGGCGGAGGAAGGCGGAGAUGACGUCAAGUCCUCAUGGCCCUUAUGUCCAGGGCUACACACGUGCUACAAUGGGCACUACAAAGGGUUGCAAAGCCGCGAGGUGGAGCCAAUCUCAAAAAAGUGUCCUCAGUUCGGAUUGCAGUCUGCAACUCGACUGCAUGAAGCUGGAAUCGCUAGUAAUCCCUGAUCAGCAGGCAGGGGUGAAUACGUUCCCGGGCCUUGCACACACCGCCCGU